rnacentral:rRNA from 1 species
GACGAACGCUGGCGGCGUGCUUAACACAUGCAAGUCGAACGGAAAGGCCCAGCUUGCUGGGUGCUCGAGUGGCGAACGGGUGAGUAACACGUGGGUGAUCUGCCUCUAACUUCGGGAUAAGCUUGGGAAACUGGGUCUAAUACCGGAUAGGACAAUCGUUUAGUGUCGGUUGUGGAAAGUUUUUUCGGUUAGGGAUGAGCCCGCGGCCUAUCAGCUUGUUGGUGGGGUAAUGGCCUACCAAGGCGUCGACGGGUAGCCGGCCUGAGAGGGUGGACGGCCACAUUGGGACUGAGAUACGGCCCAGACUCCUACGGGAGGCAGCAGUGGGGAAUACUGCACAAUGGGCGCAAGCCUGAUGCAGCGACGCCGCGUGGGGGAUGACGGCCUUCGGGUUGUAAACCUCUUUCGACAGGGACGAAGCUUUGGUGACGGUACCUGUAUAAGAAGCACCGGCUAACUACGUG